GACAGAGGGGGCAAGCGUUGUCCGGAGUUACUGGGCGUAAAGGGCGCGGAGGCGGUCUGCGGCGUAGGCGCUGAAAGCGCCCCGCUUAACGGGGCGAGGCGUGCCGAUACGCGCAGACUUGAGGCGAGCAGAGGGUGGUGGAAUUCCGGGUGGAGCGGUGAAAUGCGUAGAGAUCCGGAGGAACGCAAGUGGGGAAGCCGGCCACCUGGGCUCGUCCUGACGCUGCGGCGCGACCGCGUGGGGAGCAAACCGG
rnacentral:rRNA from 1 species